AGUGAACGCUGGCGGUAGGCCUAACACAUGCAAGUCGAACGGCAGCACAGUAAGAGCUUGCUCUUACGGGUGGCGAGUGGCGGACGGGUGAGGAAUACAUCGGAAUCUACUUUUUCGUGGGGGAUAACGUAGGGAAACUUACGCUAAUACCGCAUACGACCUACGGGUGAAAGCAGGGGAUCUUCGGACCUUUCGCGAUUGAAUGAGCCGAUGUCGGAUUAGCUAGUUGGCGGGGUAAAGGCCCACCAAGGCGACGAUCCGUAGCUGGUCUGAGAGGAUGAUCAGCCACACUAGAACUGAGACACGGUCCAGACUCCUACGGGAGGCAGCAGUGGGGAAUAUUGGACAAAGGGCGCAAGCCUGAUCCAGCCAUACCGCGUGGGUGAAGAAGGCCUUCGGGUUGUAAAGCCCUUUUGUUGGGAAAGAAAAGCAGCAGGUUAAUACCCCGCUGCUCUGACGGUACCCAAAGAAUAAGCACCGGCUAACUUCGUG
rnacentral:rRNA from 1 species